CUAAUAAGUUAACUUAGACAUGACUUCGAAUGGGUUUGGGUCAUAUUUUAAUUAAAUGCAUGCAAAUAUGUGUAGCUAUAUCUAGUUAGUUAGCUAACGUUAAGCGAUUACUUGCCGUUAAUCACAGACUAAGUGCAUUCCUUUUGCUAGCUAACUUCUAGCCACAUACUUUACUGUAACUAGCUAACGUUAGUUUACGUUCGCUAACUAGCUAAGCUGCUGUGAGACGCAGCUCAUCCCCCCCCCGCCCCCCCUCCUAAAGGUAGAAUGGCAGGGGACGCCAGUGGCAUUCCUGAACUGGACCAAGAUAAAUAUGAUGCAGAUGAAGAAAUCAAGAUAAUCUGCCUUGGAGACAGUGUAGUGGGAAAAUCCAAGUAAAUUAGAUAGGGAGCAUGCCAUCUUUUUCUUGUCAUUUUGUCACUGCAAAUACAUCUUAAAGAUGCUGAACGUUCUCAGUAAAGGUUGAUGGAGAGGUUUCUGAUAGACGGAUAUCAUCCCCAGCAGCUGUCAACCUAUGCCCUGACGCUCUACAAAUACACUACCACCAUCGACAGCAAGGCUGUAUUAGUAGACUUCUGGCAUACGGCCGGACAGGAGAGGUUCCAGAGCAUGCAUCCCUCGUACUAUCACAAGGUUCACGCCUGUAUCAUGGUGUUUGAUGUGCAGAGGAAGAUCACCUAUAAGAACCUGACCAGCUGGAGUACAGGCCUGAGGGGAGUACAGGCCUGAGGGGAGUACAGGCCUGAGGGGAGUACAGGCCUGAGGGGAGUACAGGCCUGAGGGGAGUACAGGCCUGAGGGGAGUACAGGCCUGAGGGAGUACAGGCCUGAGAUCCCCUGUGUGGUGGUGGCUAAUAAGAUAGAUGGUGAGUCCAGCCACACAGGCUAAUUCUAAUAAUAUUUUAUUUUUACUUUAUUUGUAUUUUUACUCUGUUGUUUGCAGCUGAUAUGAAGGUGACCCAGAGGAACUUUAACUUUGCCAAGAUGCAGGGACUUCCUUUGUACUUUGUAUCUGCUGCUGAUGGGACCAACCUAGUCAAGAUGUUCAAAGAAACAAUCAAAAUGGCAAUGUCUUACAAGCAGAACUCUAGUGACUUCAUGGAUGAAGUAAUGCAGGAGCUGGAGCGUUUAGGGUCUGCUCUUCAAGGUUGCUCCCCACCCAAGGAAAUGCUCAGAACUUUGAGCUGGAGCAGAAGAAGGAGGAGUCGUUAGAGAUGGCUGAGGGACUGAAACCAGAGAGCCCCGAGUCUGGCUGGAUGUUGAUGUGGAUACAUUAUCCUCACAUUAUGGACACAUUAUCUUUACAUUAUACUGGCAUUGUGAAUAUGAGGGCAGAUUCUGACUGCACUGCAGCUAUGGAUGCUGUGGAUAUGUUAUCCUAACUGUGUUGACAUGAUACCUCUUUGCCAUGGGAGAGCUGUGCUCCAGAGUCUGUAACUGAUGUUGUGGAUAUGUUAUAUUCACAUUAUUCUCACAUUGUGGACAUGUUGUCCUUACGUCCUAAUAUUUGUAUUUUUUUUGUUUUAUUUUAUGCCAUGGAAGAGACAUGCUUUUGUGGGGCUGAUGCUGCAGAAAAUGUUAACCUAUGAGCCAUAUAAUAGUAGUGACCUAUGAGAGCUGGGGCAUUCUAUUGAUGUGAGAACAAACAUUGUAGGAUAGAUGUUGUGGCAGGCAUGGUGAACGUGUGCCAGUGUUUGACGCAGGCUAUUUGAGGUUAAUCUAGAAUGUGAUGCGUUGUAAAAUGUGGGACACGCUCUAUACCUAUAAUCCCUAUUCUUGCUAUUUUAUGAUAGCAAAGUGAAACUGUGAAUGUGAACUCUCUUUGCUACUUUGUCAUCAGCUUUCGCCCUCUUAUGCCUUUACCAUGUGUGGCAUGUGUAUGGUGAUUUGUACAAUGUGAUAGUGAAGUACAUGUAUGUAAAGGCUGCUAUUGUUGCUCUUAAGUGCUACAGUGUAAAGCCAGCGCUUUUAUAGGUCAUGCCUUUAAUGUAUCUUAACCAAUGAAUGUACCUUGUAACCAUGUGAUGGCAUUAGCGACUCUGUGGUUUUACUCCUCAACACUUGUGACCUGGCUGCAUCAGUAAAAGACUGCAUCAAUGUCACCAAUAAUUAAUUCCAGUGCAGUUACUGGUUAGUUAUCAAUGUACAGGUUAGAUAUACACUGAGUGUAUAUCUCACCUCCCACCCCUUUUGCUCUCAGAACAGCCUCAAAUCAUCGGGGCAUGGACAGUACAAGGUGUCGAAAACAUUACACAGAGAUGCUGGCCCAUGUUGACUCCAAUGCUUCCCACAGUUGUGUCAAGUUGGCUGGAUGUGCUUUGGGUGGUGGACCAUUCUUGAUACACACGGGAAACUGUUGAGUGUGAAAAACCCAGCAGCGUUGCAGUUCUUGACACAAACCGGUGCGCCUGGGAACUACUACCAUACCCGGUUCAAAGGCACUUAAAUAUUUUGUCUUGCCCAUUCACCCUCUGAAUGGCGCACAUACACAAUCCAUGUCUCAAGGCUUAGAAAUCCUUUAACCUGUCUCCUCCCAUUCAUCUACACUGACUGAAGUGGAUUUAACAAGUGAUAUCAAUAAGGGAUCAUACAGUAGCUUUCACCUGGUCAGUCUGUCAUAGAAAUAACAGGUGUUCUUACUGUUUUGUACACUCAGUGUAAAGUGUUGCAGAAGUACUGAAGAUACCUCAGAACUACAACGAAUGACCACUUCUGAGGUUCUCGAUCUAAGUGUAUUAGACCUCUUCAGGCUGGAUUCAAUCCGUAUCCCUGAGGUAUCCCGAGCUGAAAUGUAAAGGUAAUUUCCAAAUGAGCUGACAUUUUGCAACGUUUACAAUGAAGGCAGUCUCUGCGAAUGCAGGAAUAUUGCCUUUAAAUUGAGCUAUAAUGCAGAUACAGAUUCAAUUGAGCUCUUAAAGUGAUGUUCCAGUGGUUUUGCAUUAUUCAUUAGUUUUGAAAGUAGUGAUCACGAGGCAAAUGGGUCCCCGAAAAUGUUGCACAAUUGUGUACUACGUCAUCCAUUUUGUAUGAUAUGUUCUGUCCUGUAAUAAAAAAUGUUGGUUACAAAAUCCAAUUUGUACAAUA